rnacentral:rRNA from 1 species
AUGUCGCCUCCCCCUAGCCGCCGCCGCCUCCCACCUCAGUCGCGCCCCCCCCCCUCGCAUCUCGUCCGCCCCGAGUGCGGAGGCAAGCUUCCCAGCGGCGGCGCUGGAUUCGAUCUGCAGGAGAGAGAGGGAGGUGUGGCAGCCGCCGCACACCCGCACCGCUCCGCGCCUCCUCUUUGCUCCACCAUGCAGCCUCCUCCUCCCCGCCCACCUCCGGCGCAGCUCGUCGUAGUGGAGAGCAAGGUCUUCGUGGCGGGGUGGAGCUGCAGCGGAGGGAAGGAUGCUGGACGGAUCCGGCGCCUGCAGGCUGAAGCAGCAGGAGUUGGUGGAUUUGGCGGAUGCUGA